UACAGAGGGUGCGAGCGUUGUCCGGAAUCACUGGGCGUAAAGGGCGCGUAGGCGGCUUGAUAAGCGUGCGGUGAAAGCCGGGGCUCAACCCCGGGUCGGCCGUGCGAACUGUCGAGCUGGAGCACUGUAGAGGCAGGUGGAAUUCCGGGUGUAGCGGUGGAAUGCGUAGAGAUCCGGAAGAACACCGGUGGCGAAGGCGGCCUGCUGGGCAGUGGCUGACGCUGAGGCGCGACAGCGUGGGGAGCAAACAGG
rnacentral:rRNA from 1 species